CACCCUCACGUCUCCAAAAUCAAACCCCAUUUGUCUGUCAAACCUUAGAACAAUAAAUUCUCGUUCAGAUUUACUCCUCUCUGGUCUAAACUUCCAUCCCAUCAGCUAUCCUUCUCUCAAUUGCACUUCCUGAUGAUUCUGAUAGGUUAGGUUUUAUCCUCUCUACUUGCGACGAAGGGCUUAGAGAAUUUCACUAUAUGCACGGAGGAUUAUUAAUUGAAGUGGAAGACAUGAUAAACUUGCUAUUCGGAUUUGGUUACAUUCCAUCAAUUGAAUGAGUUCAAGGUUGUUAGAAUUUAUAACUCUAAGAGAGAGCUAGAUGUUGGAAUUGUUCAGGUAUAUACUGCCAAGAGUAUAUAUACCUGAACUAUCCCAAGACUAGGCUCUCAUUAUAGAGUUAUAAAUUCUUGGCGUUGGCAAUGGAUGGAGAAAUGUGGGUAUAUAAGACAUCUUGGUCAAUAUGCUAGUGCAUUUGCAAUUGGAGCUCUUCAUUGGGUGGACAGGGAGCAAACACUGAUUAUCUGAAGAAGCUGCAGAAAAGGUUAAGACAUCUGUAGUUAAAUGUAAGUAAUGAUAAUAGACCUUCAUUGAAAUUCUAUGCAUUUUGAGAUUAGAUAGCAAGGGAUCUUUCCUGAGUUUAAUUAAUUGACAGUAAGUGGUGAUAUGUAUGAGUUACUUUUUU